UAACGGAGGGUGCGAGCGUUGUCCGGAAUCACUGGGCGGUAAAGGGCGCGUAGGCGGCCUGAUAAGUAAGGGGGUGAAAUCCUGCGGCUUAACCGCAGGGCCUGCCUUCUAAACUGUCAGGCUGGAGCACAGUAGAGGCAGGUGGAAUUCCCGGUGUAGCGGUGGAAUGCGUAGAGAUCGGGAAGAACAUCAGUGGCGAAGGCGGCUUUCUGGCCUGCUCUGACGCUGAGGCGCGAAAGCUAAGGGUAGCAACGGGAGU
rnacentral:rRNA from 1 species